UCGUAGCUUGGUCUGGGGAACAGGAGAACUAACAAGCCAGACGGCGAGUGAGUGGGAUGCAAUGACAGCGCCACAGAGCAGUGGAGAAGAGCCCCUCGCUCUGGAACUUCAGUUUAGUGACGCAGGCUGGAGUUCGGCGUUGUGAGCACAGCAGCAUCGUGACAGUGCCCAGGAUCCCAUACAAUGAACGGGGAGAGGUUGAGCAGUGGUUUACAAGACAAGGCAGUGAUGUGAGAUGGACGGUGAUGACCAGCAAUAGCAACAGCAGCAAACCCAGCGAUGAGGCUGGAGCUUCUACCUGACACCAGACUGGUAA